GUGUUUGCUUCAGCAGCACAUAUACUAAAAUUGGAACAAUACAGAGAAGGUUAGCAUGGGCCCUGUGCAUGAAUGACCCACACAUUUGUGAAGCAUUCCAUACAUUU
rnacentral:snRNA from 1 species